rnacentral:tRNA from 1 species
GGGGUCAUAGUUCAGAUGGCUAGAACGUCUGCCUUGCACGCAGAAGGUCGUGGGUUCGAGUCCCACUGGCUCCA